UUGUCCCCGCCCGGCGCUCGGGAGCCGGGCGCAUGGGCGCAGCUGAUGACGCCGCCGCCGCGCCGCCCUCCGAGGCUGCGUUCGGGAAGCCUGGAUUCCAAGGAGCCGCCGGAGGGGGCCGCGACGACGAGACAGCCGGGGGGACCCCCGACGGAGCGCCGCGCCCCGAGGCGGGCUGGCUGCAGGAUUUGCACACACUUUCCACCAUGGGCACAGGCACCUUUGGGCGGGUGCGCCUGGUGCGGGAGAAGACGGCCAAGGGUUUCUUCGCGCUCAAGGUGAUGAGUAUCCCUGACGUCAUCCGCCUGAAGCAGGAGCAGCAUGUGCAGAAUGAGAAGAGCAACAGAUAACUAAGACAACUUGGAUGUCCCAUGAAACCACGUUCAUAAACCUCCAAACCAAGAAAACCAAAUACCACGCAAUUGAAGCAGUCUCAACAGCAGCACUAAAUGAGUAAGACAGAAGCCCUGUGAACCACGGACAUUUAAACUACAUCCCUGAACUACCUUCCUGACCCACAACCCAUCUCCACAUCUGGGCCUCCUCAGUCUUCCCUGACUUUUUCAUAACAAGAUCGUGUCUGACAUCCUUCAGUGGCUGUGAUUUCCAAGAUCUGUUUGCAACAAGGAAGUGCUCAAUGUCUGUCAGUAGCUGUGCCCUGGCCUUCAAGGAGCCCAGAGUCGUCAGCACGGCUCUAAACGCCCUACUGCUGUUGCCCCUCCAAGCGGCCUCCUACUCCCCACCUGCACCCCUACUUUGCUUCCUCGGCUUCAGUCAUUCUCUGACUUUCCAUCAAGAAAUGGAUGACACUGGAUUAUCUGCUGCCGCAGGGAGCGACCCCGGCGCCCGACCCUGCAUGUCUCCCCGCUCCCUGAGCACCACAGGUGUGCGCGGCUCCCACCACCUCACCUGUCCACGCACCGACACACAAAGGGAGCGAGCCCGGCGCCCGGGAGGCCCAGGACCCUGCAUGUCUCCCCGCCCCCUGGGCAGCACAGGUGUGCGCGGCUCCCACCACCUCACCUGUCCACGCACCGACACACACAGGUCCCACCUCCGUGGCCUCCACGAAGCAGCUGCGGCCACACCGACCUCACACCGGAGCAGGACAGACACAGACCACGGGUGCACACUUCCGCUUCCGGUUUCCGGGACGCUCGGUGCUCAGGAGAAGGAUUCCGUGCGGGAACCCAGAGCGCUCCAGCUCCGGACCGAGGGGUUCAGUGGCUCCCUAUUGUGUUUGAGUCCUGGUCACCAAAAAACCAAACUGUCCCUGGAGUUGAUUGCGACUCAAAGCGACACUUAGGACAGAGUAGAACUGCCCCAUAGCGUUUCCAAGGAGCACCUGAUUCAAACUUCAGACCUUUUGGUUAGCAGCCAUAGAUCUUAACCACUAGACCACCAGUGUUUCCGCAAGAGUAUCACACUUAUAUUUAUAGGAAUAAACAAACAAAAAAAUAGUUGCCAUUGAGUCAGCUGUGUUUCAUGGUGACUCCCUGUGUGUCAGAGUAGAACUAUGCUCCAUAGGCUGUCCUUGUUUCUUCAGAGAGACGCCUGAGUUUUCUUAAGUUCAUCUACGAGCUGAAAAGCCUAUUUUAGUCAUCAAAGAUACCUUUGGGGAGCAGAGAAAGUUGCUAUUUGCAUUGUCAAAAAGUCUGAACUGCUAAAUAAGUCAUCUGUAAAGUAAAUUAUUUUGGAGGUUUUAGUGAAGCACACAACACACAAUGUAUGAAUCGGUGAAGCACCGAACUCACAGAAUGAAAGCAAGUCUCACAAGUGAAAUCGGUGUUCCCAGCAGCGAGAGUGUUGUAGAGAAAGGACUUUCACCAAAGCGUUCUGUGACAAAGACAUUUUCGUUGUGACAUAUCACAAAACAGAAUAGGAAACUGGCUGCAAACACUCAGGCUAUUAACAGACCAAAAUCCAAUGAAUUACAAUUUGUAAGUGUUUUUUAUACUAUUGUGCUAGAUGCUGACUCAUUGUGAGUAAAUUACUUACAGACUAUGAUUGGUUAAAGACAAGACAGAGAAGUAAGAUCAUGAUCGAGUGACCCUUUUUUCUAAGAGUGUAGUGUCUUGACACAGGGAUCCAAGGUCUAUCAUAUAAUGUUUUUUUUUUAUUUGUUAUAUCAGCUACAUAUGAUAUUGGGUAGAUAUUUAACUCAGUUGCAUGAGUGUCUGUUGUAUGCGAGUGUGUGUAAUGUGUGUGGUGUGUCUGUAUGUGUGUGUGGCAUACGUGUGUGAGUGUGGCUUUCUUAGCUCAGACGAAAGCACAAACACGCACACCAGGCAGUGGUUCCCCGAGGGUACAGAGGAGGAAAGGGAGCCCAGGCAGGAGGCCGGCUGGCAAAGCACAGCAAAGCAACCAGGAACAAGUGCGUGAGCAGCCUGUAAAGGCAUGAAGGCACAGACUGUGCAAGGCUUUUCCCCAGGAGAGUUAUCAGCAGAUUCACCUGGGGCUCUGGGGGCCUCACCCCAGGUAUGAGGAAGCCGGGCAGCUGGGGCUGUUAGCUCUGAAUUGUAGCUUUCAUCACAAGCCCUUCAACCCUGUUUCAGUGUAAAGCAUUUUUUUCCAGUUACAGAAGCGAAUGACUUUCUAUGUUCUUGCUUGAGCCACAGUUAACAAGAAGUAGCACUUAACACAAAUUAUUAGUCUCAACGGUUUUGGAGAAAAAAAAAAAAAAAACAGAAACAGAUAACCUAAAGCAUUCUACCACCAGCUGUUUGUCAGUCGAUUGUCCCACGGAUUGUUGGAAGAUUGAGGCCCUGAGGUUGGAAGGCGCUCAAAAUUCACAGUGGCUGCAACCAGGCACUCGAGCUUACCAAUGAUCGUGGAGAUGGCGUCAGGACAGGGCAACGUUUCGUUCUGUUGUGCGUGGGGUCUCCGUGAGUCGUGCUGACACUGUAGCAACUAACCAGAACAAACUUUCAUCGUUAGUAGUCAUUAAGGCUGGUGGCUGGUUGUGAGAAUGAUGCAGGACCAGGCAACGUUUUGUUCUGUCGUACGUGAGGUUGCCGUGAGUCGAUGACCCAUUCGGCGGCAACUAAGAGCGACAACGGAAGGAUUUUUGAUAAACGUCUUGUCGUCUGCAGCAGAUACCGUUUGAAAAAAAUCUUAUUGCUCCUCCUAAGAGAUGGAUUGAAUGGCCGAGGGACAUCAAGUGACCACGUGUCUAGGGCCACCGGGCAUUGAGCUGGAUCACAGGGCAGUGCCUCACCCAAGUAUUUGCCUCUGCUGAUGAGGGCUGGCUGAUGUAGGGAUACACAGGUUGGGUCUCCUUGUGUCAGUGUGGGACAAUUCUGAAGGACCGUCCCAGCCCCUGAGCUUCCUCUGUAGGAUGGGCUAAGACCCAGUUGCAACCCCAUUGUGGGUCUGCUUUGCCUUCUGCUCAACCUUGUUUUCCCUACUUCCCUACAGGGGUUUCUCUGGGGAGCACUUCCAAGUAAACUCCUUCUUCACAUAGCUCUCCAUCUCAGAAUGAAACGUUGUCUGGUCCUGCGUCAUGUUCAUGAUUAUUGGUGUGUUUGAAUCCAUUGCUGUAGCUGCCAUGUCGAUCCGUCUCAUAGACGGUCUUCCUUCUUUCUGAUGACCCUCUACUCUACCAAGCAUGAUGUCCUUUUCUAGCCAUUGGUCUUUCCCAGUGACUUGUCCAAAGUAAGCAAGACGAAGUCUCACCAUCCUUGCUUCCAAGGAGCACUCUGGUUGUAUUUCUUCUGAGAUUAAUUUGUUCAUCCUUCUGGUGUCCAUGGUAUGUUCAAUAUUCUUCACCAACACCACAAUUUGAAUGUGUCAGUUCUUCUCUGGUCUUCCUUAUUCUCUGUCUAGGUUUCACAUGCAUAUGAGGCAAUUGACAAGACUAUGUGGGGGGAGAAAGGAGCUAUUGCUAAGAGUGGCUCUUAUGGAUUGAAUUGUGUGUUCCAAAAUAUGUAUUGUAAAUCAUAACCUCUAUGUCUCUGGUUAUAAUAUCAUUUGGGAAUGGGUUUUCUUUGUUAUGUUAAUGAGGUAGUAUUAGUGUAGGGCGUAUCUUAGGUCAAUCUCUUUUGAAAUACAAAAGAGCAGAUCCAACAGGCAAGCAGAGAUGGGGGAAGAUGGAUGCCACAUAAUGGCGGCCGAGGAGCAGAAGGUCAAAAGAGACAGGGACCUUCCCCCAGAGCCGAUAGAGAGAGAAAGCCUUCCUCUGGAGCUGGUGCCCUGAAUUCGGACUUCUAGUCUCCUAACUGAGAAAAUAAAUAUGUUACUUAAAACCACCCAUGUCUGUUACAGCAGCACCAAGAGACUAAGAGAGAUGACAUUGUGCUGUAAGCUCUGGGGACAGUGGGAUCGCAGAGUAUCCUUUUUGCCUGUUUUAAAAACCCAUUGCCAUGGAGUGGAUUCUGACUCAUAGUGACCAUGUAAGACAGAGUAGAAUGGCCUCAUAGGGUUUCAAGGAGCGGCUGAUGGAUUCCAACUGCCCACCUUUUGGUUAGCAGCUAAACUCUUAACCACUGAGCCACCAGGGCCCCACUGUCUGUGAGCUGGGUUCUAAACGGCCUGGGCUUCCUUGUACUGCUCCUUCUCUCUCUGUCAGAGUUACCUGCAGAAAGAGAAUACCGUGUGCUUCAGUUCGCCUGGGAAUUUUCAUUGUUGGAUAAAUCUAUGUAAAGUGACUUCCCUUCUUUUAAAAUUUCCUCUAGCCCCCGCCCCACUUUUUUUUUUUUUUUCCUGAGAGAACAUAAGUCGGAUCAUCAGGAUGACAAAGACGAUUUCAAGCAGUUUUCAGGACAGAGAGGACGUGUAAAACUCUGUUGUUUAAAUGAGGCUAAAAGGGUAAUGGGACUGCUGUGAAUGAUGGGGUGGGGGAUUGGGGUGCAAGCAUGCCUCGAGAGGCGCAGCACCCAUGCCUGUUUACGAAACCAAACCCAUUGCCCAGUUGAUACUGACUCAUAGGGACCCUAUAGGACAGAGUAAAAUUGCCCCACAGUGUUUCCAAGGAGCAGUUGGUGGACUCGAACUGCCGACCUUUUGGUUAGCAGCCGAACUCUUAACCACUGCGCUACCAGGGCUCCUUGCUUGUUUAGAAACCUGUAUUAUAAAAGCUGGUCGGCCAUGUAAAUUCAUCCCUACCAGGGUUUCACCGUGAAUUGUCAAGGAAUCCCCACAGCCUGCAUGCUGACCAGGAGUGCUCUCCUGAAUUCCAAGGGGUCUGCUGUUUUGAUCUCUGACUUGUCAUUUUGGACACACAAGUGGCUGAUUCUGAAGCCUCUCCUGGUAUCCACCUGGGGCCCGUGGUUGGCAGUGGGAGUUUUGCUGCCGGUUAGAAUGAAGCAUUAGCUCAUCGAGACUUGGAAGGCAGUGUUACCAGCUCUGUUUAAUUUGUGAGUCUCUCAGCCUAGAGGGCUGUUCAGGAACAAUGGCAUCAACAGCCCCUCUGCCAUUGAUUUAUUCAAGUGCCGGGGGAGAGGAACCCACGCAGCUGCUGAUUUGCACCAUCUGACAUUGCUAGUGAAGAGAGGAUCUGCUGAAGAGCCUCGCCUGUUUGUUGGCUGAAAAGGUUGUUAGUGAAGAGCCACUCUUAGGAAUAGCUACUUUGUCUCCCCACCGGGAGCCAGCAGAGUAGAACUAGGCUCCAUAGGGCUUUCAGUGGCGGAUUUUUCAGAAGUAGAUCUCCAGGCCUUUCUUCUGAGGCUCCUCUUGGUGGACCCAAACCCCCAACCUUUCAGUUAGCAGCCCAGAAUGUUAACUGUUUGCACUACUCAAAAGCAAAACCAAACCCAUUGCUGUUGACUUGUUUCCAACCAACUCAUAGUGACCCUAUAGGACAGAGUAGAACUGCCCCAUAGGGUUUCCCUGGAGUGGCUGGUGGAUUCAAACUGCUGACCUUUUUUUUUGGUUAGCAGCCAAGCUCUUAACCACUGUCCCACCAGGGCUCCUUGCACCAACCAAAAAACCCAUUGCCGUCGAGUCGAUUCUGACUCAUAGCUUGCACCAUCCAGGGACUCCUAAAAACCAGCCACUGUCAAGCCGACCCUCACUUAUGGUGACCCCCAUGGGUGUCAUAUUAGGACUGUAGUCCAUGGAGUUAUCAAUGGCUGAUGUUUUAGAAGUAGAUUGCCAGGUCUUUCUUCUUGAGGUGUGUCUGGGAGGACUUGUACCUCCAUCCUUUUGGUUAAGAGCUAAGCAUUUUAACCAUUUGCAGGUAUUACAUAUUUCAUUUUUUAGACUUUUUUUGGGUUGUUUUUCUAGUUUCUGUAGUCAUUUCUUACGGUAUCUUAUUUGUGUAGGUUUAUCCCUUCUUUUAUUUCUUGAAAGGCCCCUUGGAUGACAUACAUAGUUUGUACCAGUCUACCAACCGAAACGUUGGUGGUUUUAACCCACACAGAGGCACUGAGGAAGAAAGGCCUGGAGACCUGCUUUUGUAAAGAUUACAGCCAAGAAAAUCCUAUGGGGCAGCUCUACUCUGGAACACGUGGGGUUACCCUGAGUUGGAAUGUAGUUCAAUGGCAACUGGUUUUUGGUUUAUUUCUUUAAACAUAUGCUGUUGUUAUUAGUUGCCAUCAAGUUGACCUUGCCUCAUGGUGACCCCGACUCAGGUGACCGAAUGUGUGCAGAGUAAGACUGCUCCAUAGGAUUUUUACAGCUGUGACCUUUUGAAAGCAGAUUGCCAGGGCUUUCUUAAAAGGCAUCUCUGGGUAGGUUCAAACCGCUGACCUUCUGGCUAGUAGUUGAGUGCUUGAACAUUUGAGCCAUAUCUAAAAUAUACAUACUCUAUGCCUGAAAACUCCGAUGGCGGCAUUCUUUGCAGAUGUAAUUUUGCUGCUACUUUUUGGCUGCAAGCUGAUAUUUUGGGGACUUCAUCUGUUGGAAAUAUUUGGGGUUUGGGGAUAAGGAGAGCCCUUCUUGCUAGGUUAUGUAAUUUUGCUUCUGCCCAAAGACUGAAGAUGCGACUGGUCCCAAAGUGUUUUAAGCUGAAUUAUUGGCUUGGAGUUUUUCAGACUCCAAAGGAAUGCGAUUUUGAGUCACAAACUUGUGUAAAGCAUGGUUUAAGGUUACCUGUUCAGAGGGAACUGGUAUUUUUAAGCUUUUCUGAGACAGCUUGAGCUAGGCUAUGUUGCAGUAACAAACAGCCACAGACCUCAGUGGGCUUAAAAUAGCCCCAAAUGCUCUCUCGCACUGUUAGGGAUUGAAUUGUGCCCGCCACCCCCAACAUGUGUGUAAAUCCUGACCUCUAUACAUGUGACGGAAACCCUGGUGGCGUAGUGGUUAAGUGCUAUGGCUGCUAACCAAAGGGUCGGCAGUUUGAAUCCACCAGGCACUCCUUGGAAACUCUAUGGGGCAGUUCUACUCUGUCCUAUAGGGUCGCUAUGAGUCGGAAUUGACUCGAUGGCACUGGGUUUGGUUUGGUUUAUACAUGUGAUGAGGGACACUGGUGGCCCAGUGGUUUUAAGCAUUAGUUAGCCUGCUAACCAAAAAGUCAGCAGUUUGACUCCGCCAGCUGCUGGGUAGUUCUACUCUGUCCUGUAGGGUUGCUAUGAGUCGAAAUUGACUUGACGGCAGUGGGUUUUUUUAUGGGUAUACAUGUGGAAACUCUGGUGGCCUAGUGGUUAAGAGCUACGGCUACUAACCAAAAGGUUGGCAGUUUGAAUCCACCAGGCACUCCUUAGGAACUCUGUUCUAUAGGGUUUUGGUUUUUUGGUGUGAUGUAAUUGCAUUCGGACUGGGACUUUCUUUGUUAGGUUAAUAAGACCUUAUCAGCGUAGGGUGUGUUUUAGACCAAUCCCUUUGACAUCUGAAUGGAGCAGAUUAGACACAGAAGCAAGCAGGCAGAGACUAGGGAAGACAGACGCCACAUGGGGAUAGCCAAGGAACUGAGGGACAGAAGCUGAAAGACACAAGGACCUUCCCCCAGGGCCAACAGAGAGAGAAAGCCUUCCCCUAGAUCCGGCACCCUGUAUUCGGACUUCUAGCCUCCUGAACAGUGAGAAAAUAAAUGUCUGUUCAUUAGAACCUCCCACAGGAGCCCUGGUGGCACACUGGUUAAAGCGCUCUGCUGUUAACUGAAAGGUGGGUGGUUCUAACCCACUACCAGCCGCUCCUUGGGAGAAAGAUGUGGCAGUCUGCUUCCAUAAAGUUUUAGUCUUGGAAACCCUAUGGGGCAGUUCUACUGUGUCCUAUAGGGUCGCUAUGAGCCAGAAUCAACUUGAUGUCAAGGGGUUUGGUUUUGAUUUUUUUUUAAUUUCUCUCUGUAUUUGUCUACGUAUGUCUAUCUAUUUGUCUUUCUCUAUCUACCUUUCAUCUUCUAUUUACUAGGCCUGUUUCCCUAGAGAACUCUGAGACAGCAAGGGCAUAGAAUCUCACUAUGUGACUGGGAGGAGAACCAGAUAGAGUUACUGAGUAGCAAAAGAAUCUUGGUUGCAAUUACCAUGGUCUAAUUCCCUUCUUUACACCAUGGUAGGGAGCCAUGGUGGUAUAGUGGUUAAGCACUCGGCUGCUAACUGAAAGGUUGGUGGUUUUGUGACCCUAAUACCUUGCAACAUGUUUUCCCCUCUUCCAAAUGGGUGAUUGAGAGCUUGACAUAACUAACGCCAUAAUGAUACUCUAAGUAAUCUGUGAGCAUUUUUUACUGCACCAGCUGCACUAGUCUCUUUCCAAAGGGGUGUGGAGCCCUCUCGGCUCCUGUGGCCUUCAUCUCUCUCCUCUUCUUUGUUCUCUUGAGAAAUGGCCUUCAGCCUGCAGGACAAGGACAGCAGCUAGGAAGGCUGCCUGGUGCUUUUGGUCUGCAACUUUCUUUCUUGCUCUUUAUCUUGGUCAGAGUGGACCUGGCAGGCCAGUUCCAUUAGCCGAGAGAGUCUUAUGUGAGUUUUUUUUCAGCCUGUUACAAACAUACAGAUUAGAGUCCAGAGUCCGACAUUUACAUUUUUAGUUCAAUAAAGAGUUUCUUGUAGUUGUUUUGUGACGUAUGCAACCAUCUGUGGGCUACAUGCUUGAAAACAUUAGGUAACCCUUGCCAAAAUAAUAUAUAAGCUCUGAUGUAAAAAUCGCUUUUGGGGGACUUCAUAAAGGACAGUCUGUGUUGCUGUUGGGGGCUCUCGUUGGUGUCACCUCCUAAUAAACUCUCUCUCUCUUUCUGACUUGGAAUACAUUUCAUUGGUUCGACUGCUUCAGAGCACAGACCCCAAUUGGGUAACAGUUUGAACCCACCCAGCAGCUCUGCAGAAGAAAGGCCUGAUAACCUGCUUCCAUAAAGAUUCCAGCCUAGGAAACCGUAUGGGGCAGUUUUACUCAGUCACAUGGGAUUGCUAUGAGUCGGAAUUGACUGUAUGGUAUCUAAUAACAACACCGAAACCAUGGUAAGAGUUAGCUUUUGCUGUGUAACAAGUCACCCCAAAUGUCAGGGGCUUAAACCAGCAAACAUUUAAUAUUUCUCAUAAAUAUAGGUCAGCUGGGAGUUCUUCUCUCUGAGAUCUCUUACAUUCAUCUUUAUUUUAAGUGUAUACAGGAGUCCUCCCUGGUUAAGUGUUCGGCUGUUAACCGAAAUGUCCCUCUCCACGGAAGAAAGAUGUGGCAGCCUGCUCCUGUACAGAUUUACAGCCUUGGAAACCCUGUGGGGCAGUUCUACUCUGUCCUACAGCGUAGCUAUGAGUUGAAAUCGACUGGAUGGCAACAUGAUGAAUGGGUAGCCCUGUAUGGCUGCAGAUUUGUGUGGGGUGGAUGAAUCUCAUAGCAAACUCGUGUGAGCUAGCAAUUUUGCUUUUAGGAUUCCCAGAGGUGUGCUGAUAUACUUCAAAUUCGGCUUCAUCGGAGGGUGUAGCCCUACAGGGUUCCAGAUAUAUGUAAAUUCCUCUCAUUUCAUGGGCCUGUGAAAACUCCAGCCCACUUUGUCUAGAUUCUACAAUGCCCAUCAAGGCUUUCUGACUUCUCACCGUCACUUAGACUUUGGGACCUAAAUAUUCCUUACAUUCUUGCCAAUGUGUUGAGGCAUUUAAAAAAAAAAAGUAAUCUUUUUAUAUUUUGCUCAGCGUUAUUAAUAGUUUUCAUCAGGAGGAUUAGAAAGUCCCAUAAUUUGUUGUUUCCAUGUACUUCACAAUCUAAAUGGAAUUGUUGUUCGCUGCCGUUGAGUCAGCCCCGACUCGUGCCGACCCCGUGCACAACGGGAGGAAACGCUGCCCGGUCCUACAGCACCCCCGUGACCAGUUGUGGAUCAGACCAUUGUGAUCCAUAGGGUUUUCACUGGCUGAUUUUUGGAAGUAGAUCACCAAGCCUUUCUUCCUAGUCUUAGCUGAAACCUGUUCAGCAUCACAGCAACAUGCAAGCCUCCAUGGACAGAUGGGUGAUGGCUGUGUGUGCGGUGCACUGGCUGAGAAUUGAACCUGGAUUCCCCACAUGGGAGGCAAGAAUUCUACCCCUGAACUGCCAGUUUCCCCAAAUGGAAUUAGGUUAAUGACAGUGAACCAAAUAGUUGAGAUUCAGUAUUAUACAUUCCUGGUGGUGCAGUGGUUAAGAGCUUGGCUGCUAAAUCCAUCAGUUUGAAUUCUUGGAAACCCUAUGGGGCAGUUCUACUCUGUCCUAUAGGGUCGAUAUGAGUCAGAAUCAACGGCAGUGGGCUAAGUGUUUAACAAGGAGCCUUGAUGGCACAGGGGUUAAACACUUGGCUGUUCACCGAAAGGUUGGUGGUUCCAAACCACCAGCCACUCCAUGGGAAAAAGAUGUGGAAAUCUGCUUCUGUAAGGAUUACAGCCUAGGAAACCCUACAGGGAAGUUCUACCCUGUUACAUGGGGUCGUCACGAGUUGGAGUUGACUACGUCACGCAAGGCACAUGACAACAAUACACAAUACCAAAGCAGCAGAAAUUAGUAUGCAAAAAGGAUAAGUAAUCAGGGCUCAUUGAUGGGUUUGUAUCAGCAAGAAAAUACCCUGCCACCAAGAAAAAUAAAUUUAAAAGAAUGUUAUCACAGGUGAGUAUUUUCACGCCGCUGUUAUUGUAGUUAGGUCCCAUCGAGUAGACUCUGACUCAUGGUGACUCCACAUGACAGAGUAGGACCACCCCAUGAGGUUUCCUAGACAGAUCAGGAGCAGAUUGCCAGGUCUUUCUCCCUUGGAGCUACUGGUGCAUUUGAACCUCUGACCUUUAGGUUAGCAGCUGAGUGCUGAACCGCUGUGCCACCAGGGCUUGCUAUUUCCAUACUAAUCAUGUAAAAAAUACUCCCUGCAGCAUGCAAAAUAUUACUGUUCGGUCUAGCUACAAAGCUAACGGUUCUUUCUGGGGGGGAACGAUCGUUAGAGCAUUGUUCUGGAGAGUGACAUGAGUUUGGGGAAUCGCAAAGUGGGUGUUGUGAUGGUUCUGGCCAGGUUAAGGGACCUUGGCGUGGGGGUCUGUGAGUAGUCAUUGAUUCCCAAGGACUCCUUCCAAAGACCGGCUGGAGCCCCUUGUCUGAAAUGAUGGUCACGCACCAGCCAUUGCUCUCUCUGUGACAGGCCAAGUCAGCCUUGUCGUUGACAGGGAAGGGGACUGAAAACCACAUUUGGGCUAUUCGAUCAGGGACUAAGUCAUAUCAUUGCAAACGGCAUUCCAAAAUGACCUUCUAAUCUAAAUAGUUUUGGCAAAGCCAGACCCUCACAACCAGUCUUGGCAGGGAAUUCAGCCACUGGACAUCCACUGAUACCUGGAGCCAGGGGCAUGAAAAGCUUUAAUGAUUUUUUUUUUCAUGGAUCUAAGGUUCAGAGGACAUGUUAUCAGGAGAGACCAGUCCCUGGAGAAGGACAUCAUGCUUGGUAAAGUAGGGGGUCAGCAAAAAAGAGGAACACUCUCAAGGGGAUGGAUUGACACAGUGGCUGCAACAGUGGGCUGAAGCAGAGCAACUGAUAAAAGGUUAACCUAAUCACAGCAGGCCGUAACCGCAAAAGGCUGACUUGUUAGAAUCUAAGGAGCUUAAAACAAUAGCAAACUACAUCAAAGAUGUGGGACAGACAGAGUGCUCUAACAGGUUCAAUGGACAGUGGACGUGCGUACCAAAAACUAAACAACAAUUCAUCACCGGAAGCACGUUAGAGAUCUACCCAAUAUCAUACGUAGCUCACAUAACAAAAAACAACCAUCAUAUGACAGAUCCAGGACCCCUGAGCCAAGAGACUAAGUUUUUAGAAAAGAAAAAUAGGAAAAGGUCACCCAAUCAUGGUCUUAGUUCUCUGUCUUUACUUUAACCAAUCAUAGCCUGUAAGUAAUUUAUGCACAAUAAAUCAGCUUCUGUUAGAACUGUAUAAAAAGCACUUACAGAUUGUAAUUCAUUGGAUUUUGGUCUGUUAAUAGCCUGAGUGUUUGCAGCCAGUUUCCCAUUCUGUUUUCUGAUAAGUCACAACGAAAACCUCUUUGUUGCAGAAGGGUUUGAUGAAAAUCCUUUCUCGCCAACACUGUUAUGUCAAUGACGUUAUAUCAGUGUAGGGUGUGUUUUAAACCAAUCACUUUUGAAAUGUAAAAACUGCAGAUAAGGCACAGAGAAGCAAGCAAGCACUGGAGCUGCCACAUGGAGAUCACCAAGGAAUCAAAGAACAGAACCUGAAAAGACACAAGGACCUUUCCCCAGAGCUGUCAGAGAGAGAGCCUUCCCCCAGAGGCGGUGCCCUGAAUUCAGACUUCCAGCCUCCUGAACUGUGAGAAAAUAAAGUCCUGUUUGUUAAAGCCACCCCCUUGUGGUAUUUCUCUUACAGCAACACUAGCUAACUAAGACAGAUGACAUUGCACUGUAAGCUCCGGGGCCAGUGAGAUCCCAGAGUACCCUCUGUGAGCUGGGCUUUAAGCUGCUUGGGCUUCCUUGUUCUCCUCCUUCUCUCUCUGUCAGAGUUACCUGCUGUCUUAGCCAUCUCGUGUUGCUGGAACAGAAAUACCACAAGUGGGUGGCUUUAACAAACAAGUUUAUUCUCUCACAGUUUAGGAGCCUACAAGUCCUAAUUCAGGGUGCCAGUGUCAGGGGAAGGCUUUCUCUCUCUGUCAGCUCUGGGGGAUGAUCUUUGUCUUCAAUCUUCCUCUGGUUUAGGAGUUUCCCAGUGCAGGGACCCCCAAGUCCAAAGGAGGUGCUAUACUCCUGGCUUUUGUUUCUUGGUGGUAUGAGGUCCGCAUGUCUUCCUGCUUGCUUCUGUCUUUUAUGUCUCAAAAGAGAUUGACUCAAGAUACAGCCUAAUCUUGUAGAUUGAGUCUUGCCUCAUUAAAUUAAGUAUCUCUAAUCCUGCUUCAUUAACAUCAUAGAGGUUAGGAUUUACCACACCUAGGAUAAUCGCAUCAGAUGACAAAAUGGUAGGCAAUCACACAAUACUGGGAAUCAUGGCCUAGCCAAGUUAACACACAUAUUUUUUGGGGACAAAAUUCCAUCCAUGACACCUGCAGAAAGAGAAUACAAUUUGUCUCAGUUUUAUAGACCACUGGGGUACGUUGGUGAUGGGAUAAAUCUCUCAGACUCUUAGCUUGCAGAGUAUUGUAGGGCAUAAGAGAAUCUCUUUCAUCAUCUGGUUUGUCUCCAGCACACACCUCUGUUUUAAGGCUAGUUGCAUUUUGCUAUAAUUAUUUGUUUACACAUGGGUUGUCUUAUCUAGAUUGCUAGUCUUCUAAGACCAUGCCCCAAAUCUUGCUCAUCUUUCAAUUUCCAAUGCCUCAACCUGGUUUUAGGAAGUCCUGGUGUGCAACAGUUAAGCGCUCCAUUGCUAACCAAAAAGUUGGUGGUUGGAACCCACCCAGUGCCUCCACUGGAGAAAGACUUGGAGAUCUACUCCUAUAAAGAUGAUAGCCAAGGAAACCCUUUGGGGCAGUUUUACUCCAUCACUUGUUAGCAGUCGAGUGCUUAACUAUUUGCACCACCUGUUCACUCAUUGCUGUUGAGUUGAUUUCAGCUCAUAGCAACCCUGUAGGACAGAGCAGAACUCCUCUCUCUGUCAGCAGCCGAGCUCUUAACCACUGUGCCACCAGGACUCCAUUUGCACCACCCAGGGACUCCAAAAACCAGAUGUCGUCGAGUCGGCCCCAUGUGUGUCAGAGUAGAACUGUGCUCCACAGGGUUUUCGAUGGCUGAUUUUUCUGAAGUAGGUUGCCAGGCCUUUCUUCUGAGGUACCUCUGGGUGGGCAGGAACCUCUACCUUUUUGGUUAGCUGCUGCGCGCGGUCGCAGUUUGCACUGUUCCUAAAGCAGCGCAGCACCGUACGAAUUCUAGAGGCAUGUUUUACGUGCACUGGGUAAUUUGCUUUCUGGCCAAGCGAAGCAAGAACAAUGGAUACCGUAUGCAUACCUUUGCCGUACCUCGUCUGUGCAAACUCUGUGACCUUGGUGUCCUCAGAGAGUGGACUUGGCUGCAGAGCUACUAUCACCAGCUGCUGUGGUCACGGCUUUGAUGUUCUCCCCUGAUUCACGGGGGCUCCCGUUACACAGGAGUUCAGCUGUCUUCCACGGCUGGAGUGACGUUACCAGGCUCUCCGAGGUCAUUUAUAAGGUGAGGCCUUCAGAGCCCAACACAAAGAGAGAAGAUCAUUUAUUUUCCACAGCGUUUUCUUCCCUCAAGCUCCGUGUCCUAUUCCAUUCUAAAGGGCACUUCAGCAAAUGAUGUAUGGAACAGGAAAAAAAAAAAAAAUCUGUAUGGUUUCUCAGUAAAGGGUAUACAUAACUAGAUACCAAAAAAGUUGAUUCCAACUCAUAGCAACCAGAUAGGACAGAGUAGAACUGCCCCAGAGGGUUUCCAAGGAGCGACCAAUUAAUUCCAACUGCCGACCUUUUGGUUAGCAGCCGAGCUCUUAACCACUGCGCCACCAGGGCUCCAUGUAACUAAACAGUAACUCCGAAAUCAUGUGCAAAAACAGCCGUCCAUUUUUCUUUCAAAACACCCAAGGCUUAUAGGUCAGUUAAGUUCAUGUUGAUUCGUCUAACGUUAUGUGCUAAUUAGGUACAAGGCACGGCAUGGAUUCCUCGGUGAAGUGUGGGUUUAUUUCUAAGACAUGUGCAGUGCCAUAAUCCUGUAGGGUAAGGGGCAGAGGCUCAGGGAGGUUUGUUGUUAGCUGCUGUUGAGUUGGCUCUGACUCAUGGCGACCCCGUGUUCAACAGAACGAAACAUUUCCUGGUCCUGCACCAUCUUCAUGAUCGUUGGUAUCCUCGAGUCCAUGGCAGCAGCCACUGUGUAUUCUGACACACAGGGGGGCGCCAUUGCACUGUGGUUUAAAUUAGUGUUACUCUCAUCAUGAAUGAAAAAUCAGCCGUUGAAAACCCUACAGAUCACAGUUCUACUCUGACCCUCACGGGGGCGCCAUGAGUUAGAGUCGACUCCACGACAACGUGUAUUGGUAAUUUAGUUUUUUUUUUUUUCAAUGACUUUGUCUUUCUCUUGUCCUAUUUCAAAAAAUUGUACUAUCACACAUGCGUUAUAAUAUCGUUGGGUUUUAAAUAGAAGUCAGUUGAGGAUUUAUAUCCUAUUGAAAAUCCACUCCAAAUUAUCCAUAAAAGCCAAAACGGUGGAGCCUAGAGAUCAUUAUCACAUUACACUAAAAUGAUAUUAAUUUCCUGUUAAAUGCUGAGUUUAUGUUCUUUCGUCAUGUCAAUAAUAUCGCAAAAGUGAAAAAUAAACAGCUUCAGGCAUCUUUGUGCUAAACAUGAGAACCUACUGUGUUUUACACAUUAGAAGAAAAAAUUGCCUCUGCUGGCAAGUAUUAACCAUGAGACCAUUAAAUUAUUUAUAUUCAGUGGGAUAUGCUUGAAUAAUGGUAUAGUCUUUGGGAUCGUUGAAAAGUAAAUGAUAAACAUGAUCUAAAUCCAAAUGCGCAAAUGCAUUCAAGAAGCGUGCUGUUUUGGCUCCGUUAAAAUAAAUGCCCCUAGGAAUUUUAAAAAAAUGUCUGUCGUCGCAGCAAUUUAUUUAUUUUGGAAACUUAAAACAACAUACGAAAGAGGGCACAGUUUUCCCAAGCACUCGAAAUUGUGUUUGCUUUCAGCAGGCCUUUGUACAAUUAAGAUAUUUCUUUGAAGAAAUAAUCCCAAACCAACAGCACUGAUGUCGAGUCGACCCUUGACUCAUGGCAACUACAUGUGUACAGAAUAGAGCUGCUCCAUAGAGUUUUCUUAGCUGUGAAAUUUACAGAAGCAGAUUGCCAGGCCUUUCUUCUGUGGUGCUGCUGGGUGGGUUCAAACCACCAACGUUUUGGUUAUUAGUUCAGUGCUUAACUCUUUAGGCUACCCAGAGACCCUCUUCCCUUGAAGAGAGAUUCCCAAGAGUGGAUAAAGUGUGGUGAGUAAGCAACACUUUAUUCCAUUACUUUAGUUCAUUGUCAGACUUUAUUUUUGUGUGGAUAUGGGGCAGUUCUACUCUGUCCUAUAGGGUCACUAUGAGUCGGAAACGACUCGACGGCACUGGGUUUUUAUGUGUUUUCAUUUCUUUUGGGUAUAUACCAGGGAGGAGCCCUGGUGACACAAUGGUUGUGUUUGGCAGUUAACCGAAAGGUUGGCAGUUCAAACCCACUCAGGGACCGGGGUGUGCGAUGGCUGGGUUAUAUGGCAACUCUAUCCUUAAUUGUUUCAGGGACCACCAGGUUAUGUUCUGACGUGGCUGCAGCACUUUACAUUCCCACCCGCUGUGUGGAGCCCCGCUGGCACAGUGGUUAAGCAUUCAGCUGCUAACCAAAAGGCGGGCAGUUCAAAUCCACCAGCCACUCCCUGGGAACUCUGUGGGGCAGAUCUACUCUGUCCUGUUGGGUCGCUAUGACCUGGAAUCGACUCGACAGCAGUGGGUUUGGUUUUACUGUUUUGGCCCGCUGUGUAUGAGGAUUUCAGUGUGUCUUUAUUUUUUAAUUUAACUGUAUUUAUCCAUCUCCUCUGUUGGCCAAGGAGCCCCUGAGUGGUGCUAACAGCUAACAUUCUCAACUGCUAACGGAAAGUUAUGAGGUUGAAGAUCACCCAGAAGCUCCUUGGGAGAAUCCAUUCAGGAGUAUUUUACAUACUGAAUUUGCUUUAAUUAUCUGAAAUUAAUGUUUUACACUUUUCCCCCAUGCACAAAUAUAUUGAGCAUAGAUCUGAACUACAACCAAAACCCAAAUCCAUUGCCAUCGAGUCGAUUCCAACUCAUAGUGACCCUAUAGGACAGAGCAGAACUGCCCCAUAGGGUUUCCAAG